rnacentral:rRNA from 2 species
GAGUCUGAUGGAGCAUGCCGCGUGAGUGAAGAAGGGUUUCGGCUCGUAAAACUCUGUUGUUAAAGAAGAACACCUUUGAGAGUAACUGUUCAAGGGUUGACGGUAUUUAACCAGAAAGCCACGGCUAACUACGUGCCAGCAGCCGCGGUAAUACGUAGGUGGCAAGCGUUGUCCGGAUUUAUUGGGCGUAAAGCGAGCGCAGGCGGUUUUUUAAGUCUGAUGUGAAAGCCUUCGGCUUAACCGGAGAAGUGCAUCGGAAACUGGGAGACUUGAGUGCAGAAGAGGACAGUGGAACUCCAUGUGUAGCGGUGGAAUGCGUAGAUAUAUGGAAGAACACCAGUGGCGAAGGCGGCUGUCUAGUCUGUAACUGACGCUGAGGCUCGAAAGCAUGGGUAGCGAACAGGAUUAGAUACCCUGGUAGUCCAUGCCGUAAACGAUGAGUGCUAAGUGUUGGAGGGUUUCCGCCCUUCAGUGCUGCAGCUAACGCAUUAAGCACUCCGCCUGGGGAGUACGACCGCAAGGUUGAAACUCAAAGGAAUUGACGGGGGCCCGCACAAGCGGUGGAGCAUGUGGUUUAAUUCGAAGCUACGCGAAGAACCUUACCAGGUCUUGACAUCUUCUGCCAAUCUUAGAGAUAAGACGUUCCCUUCGGGGACAGAAUGACAGGUGGUGCAUGGUUGUCGUCAGCUCGUGUCGUGAGAUGUUGGGUUAAGUCCCGCAACGAGCGCAACCCUUAUUAUCAGUUGCCAGCAUUCAGUUGGGCACUCUGGUGAGACUGCCGGUGACAAACCGGAGGAAGGUGGGGAUGACGUCAAAUCAUCAUGCCCCUUAUGACCUGGGCUACACACGUGCUACAAUGGACGGUACAACGAGUCGCGAAGUCGUGAGGCUAAGCUAAUCUCUUAAAGCCGUUCUCAGUUCGGAUUGUAGGCUGCAACUCGCCUACAUGAAGUUG